rnacentral:rRNA from 1 species
CUGCUGCCUCCCGUAGGAGUUUGGGCCGUGUCUCAGUCCCAAUGUGGCCGGUCGCCCUCUCAGGCCGGCUACUGAUCGUCGCCUUGGUGAGCCGUUACCCCACCAACAAGCUAAUCAGACGCGGGUCCAUCCUAUACCACCUCAGUUUUUCACACCGAACCAUGCGGUUUUAGUGCGCUUAUGCGGUAUUAGCAGUCAUUUCUAACUGUUAUCCCCCUGUAUAGGGCAGGUUACCCACGCGUUACUCACCCGUCCGCCA